GUAGGACCAUAGCUCAGUGGCAGAACAACUGCCUUGCACCCAAAAGGUCCCAGGUUCAAUCCCUAGUGUCUCCA